rnacentral:rRNA from 1 species
AUUGAACGCUGGCGGCAGGCUUAACACAUGCAAGUCGAGCGGAGAUGAGGUGCUUGCACCUUAUCUUAGCGGCGGACGGGUGAGUAAUGCUUAGGAAUCUGCCUAUUAGUGGGGGACAACAUUCCGAAAGGAAUGCUAAUACCGCAUACGUCCUACGGGAGAAAGCAGGGGAUCUUCGGACCUUGCGCUAAUAGAUGAGCCUAAGUCGGAUUAGAUAGUUGGUGGGGUAAAGGCCUACCAAGGCGACGAUCUGUAGCGGGUCUGAGAGGAUGAUCCGCCACACUGGGACUGAGAGACGGCCCAGACUCCUACGGGAGGCAGCAGUGGGGAAUAUUGGACAAUGGGGGGAACCCUGAUCCAGCCAUGCCGCGUGUGUGAAGAAGGCCUUAUGGUUGUAAAGCACUUUAAGCGAGGAGGAGGCUACUGAGACUAAUACUCUUGGAUAGUGGACGUUACUCGCAGAAUAAGCACCGGCUAACUCUGUGCCAGCAGCCGCCGUAACAC